CGAACGGGGAGAUUCAUCGUCAGCGGACGCCGGCUUCGCGUCGGUCGGCGAUGUCCCGCGGGGGCCCUCGCGGCUCUCAGCGCUGGCACGCUGCCGUGCGCCGAUGUAUCCGGCUUCGCCCUCGUGCACUUCUCCCCUGGUAGAACGUCGCGACCCGCUGGGUAUCUGUCUACGGCCCGGGUGCGGUGUCUGACGCGCCGCCGGUAAAACGGCGCGCGUCAAACCCCCGGUCGCCCGGCCGGCUGCCCGGCGGUACGCGCAAGGUAUCAGGCCGCACACACAUUUGAACGGUGCGUCGAGGCCGUCGCAAGUGCGCGCCAUGGUACACGGAGGUACGGACCUAGCGCCGUCACCGGUCCUGGCCCGCUGUUGGUCGUACGGUUAACCUUCGACAGGCAUACGAACAUCCCAGCGUGGGGGUCGGGGGCUCGUCUCCCGCGCUCUCG
rnacentral:rRNA from 1 species